rnacentral:rRNA from 1 species
GAUGAACGCUGACAGAAUGCUUAACACAUGCAAGUCAACUUGAAUUUGGGUUUUUUAACUUAGAUUUGGGUGGCGGACGGGUGAAUAACGCGUAAAGAACUUGCCUCACAGCUAGGGACAACAUUUGGAAACGAAUGCUAAUACCUGAUAUUAUGAUUUUAAGGCAUCUUAGAAUUAUGAAAGCUAUAUGCACUGUGAGAGAGCUUUGCGUCCCAUUAGCUAGUUGGAGAGGUAACGGCUCACCAAGGCGAUGAUGGGUAGCCGGCCUGAGAGGGUGAACGGCCACAAGGGGACUGAGACACGGCCCUUACUCCUACGGGAGGCAGCAGUGGGGAAUAUUGGACAAUGGACCAAGAGUCUGAUCCAGCAAUUCUGUGUGCACGAUGACGUUUUUCGGAAUGUAAAGUGCUUUCAGUUGGGAAGAAAAAAAUGACGGUACCAACAGAAGAAGUGACGGCUAAAUACGUGCCAGCAGCCGCGGUAAUACGUAUGUCACGAGCGUUAUCCGGAUUUAUUGGGCGUAAAGCGCGUCUAGGUGGUUAUGUAAGUCUGAUGCGAAAAUGCAGGGCUCAACUCUGUAUUGCGUUGGAAACUGUGUAACUAGAGUACUGGAGAGGUAAGCGGAACUACAAGUGUAGAGGUGAAAUUCGUAGAUAUUUGUAGGAAUGCCGAUGGGGAAGCCAGCUUACUGGACAGAUACUGACGCUGAAGCGCGAAAGCGUGGGUAGCAAACAGG